CAGUGGCACAGAUGAUUUUCUUUUUGCAUAUGCUUAGCCAUUCAGCUUCUUCCGGCUAAGGUCAUGACACCUAAUACCAACUGGGAAUGUCAGCUUUACUGAGUGACUACUGGAUGAGCAUUAUCUGCAGUUUCAGAUUCUGCUACUAUAUGUGGAACAGACAGGAUAUAGAUUGACAGGUCUUCCUAGGAUUAGCUCUUCAGUUUUGCAUCAAUCGACAAAGAGAAGAUGAGAGGUCUUUACACGCUGUUGCUUUCUACGAUCCAAAUUAUAGGGCAAAACAGAGUAGCAGCAGUAACAGAGUCACUCUGGAGUAUUCCCCAUUGAAGUUUUUCCCUGAAAUAAUAAUUUGUCCUUCAUCAUGGCUUAAUUGCAAAGUGCUCUACCACUGUUUCAUGGUCACUGUCAUG